rnacentral:rRNA from 1 species
UACGUAGGGUGCAAGCGUUGUCCGGAAUUAUUGGGCGUAAAGAGCUCGUAGGUGGCCUGUCGCGUCGGCUGUGAAAACUCGGGGCUCAACUCCGAGCUUGCAGUCGAUACGGGCAGGCUAGAGUUCGGUAGGGGAGACUGGAAUUCCUGGUGUAGCGGUGAAAUGCGCAGAUAUCAGGAGGAACACCGGUGGCGAAGGCGGGUCUCUGGGCCGAUACUGACGCUGAGGAGCGAAAGCGUGGGGAGCGAACAGG